UACGUAGGUGCCAAGCGUUGUCCGGAUUUACUGGGCGUAAAGAGCGUGCAGGCGGUCGUUCAAGUCGAGUGUGAAAGCCCCCGGCUCAACUGGGGAGGGUCAUUCGAUACUGAUCGACUCGAAGGCAGGAGAGGGUAGUGGAAUUCCCGGUGUAGUGGUGAAAUGCGUAGAUAUCGGGAGGAACACCAGUGGCGAAGGCGACUACCUGGCCUGUUCUUGACGCUGAGGCGCGAAAGCUAGGGGAGCAAACGGG
rnacentral:rRNA from 1 species